GCGGAUCAGCCCGCUCCCGGUAAAACGGGACGGCCCGCCAGAGGACCCCUAAACUCUGUUUCUAUAUGUAACUUCUGAGUAAAACCAUAAAUAAAUCAAAACUUUCAACAACGGAUCUCUUGGUUCUGGCAUCGAUGAAGAACGCAGCAAAAUGCGAUAAGUAAUGUGAAUUGCAGAAUUCAGUGAAUCAUCGAAUCUUUGAACGCACAUUGCGCCCGCCAGUAUUCUGGCGGGCAUGCCUGUUCGAGCGUCAUUUCAACCCUCAAGCACAGCUUGGUGUUGGGACUCGCGUUAAUUCGCGUUCCCCAAAUUGAUUGGCGGUCACGUCGAGCUUCCAUAGCGUAGUAGUAAAACCCUCGUUACUGGUAAUCGUCGCGGCCACGCCGUUAAACCCCAACUUCUGAAUGUUGACCUCGGAUCAGGUAGGAAUACCCGCUGAACUUAAGCAUAUCAAUAAGCGGAGGG
rnacentral:rRNA from 1 species